CAUCCGACAAGCGACUGGAACGGGAAGGAAGCCGAGCAAACGCGGACGGCGGCACCGAAGGACAGGGGAGUGUCAGAGAAAGGGGCGUGUUCAAAAGGACAACCUGGCAAAGACCCCUCCCCUCUCGGCCUGCAAGGCAUUAACGUUUUCAGAUUGCUACAAGAAGCACCACCAAAUCCAAGUCUGAAGAUGUAAUGGAAUUCUCACUUCCACUAAAUUCCAUCCCACAUGUGGCUUGGCUUGUUCUGUGCUGGAAUAUUGGACUCAUUAUGAGGAUAUGGACAUGGCACAGAUGAAAAUGAGGAAGAUGCUCCGCCAAAAGGUGUCAUACCAGAUGACCCACCAAAAGGAGUCACAGAAUGGCUGUUAAAAUUAACUGAUGAUCCCUUUGCUGCAGCAGG